rnacentral:rRNA from 1 species
UACGUAGGAGACGAGCGUUGUCCGGAAUUACUGGGCGUAAAGCGCGUGUAGGCGGAUGAGCAAGUCUGCUGUGAAAGCUCCUGGCUUAACCGGGAGUGGUCGGUGGAAACUGCUCGUCUGGAGGACGGUAGAGGUAGGUAGAAUUCCCGGUGUAGUGGUGAAAUGCGUAGAGAUCGGGAGGAAUACCUGUGGCGAAGGCGGCCUUCUGGACGGAUACUGACGCUGAGGCGCGAAAGCCAGGGGAGCAAACGGG